CAUGACCUGAGCCAAAAUCAAGAGUCGGAUACUUAACCGACUGAGCCACCCAGGUGCCCCAAUAGCAAUAAUAAUCAAUAAAACUUCUUAAAUGCAAAAUAAAAUCCAUAAGCCUCAAAGAGUUAAUGCAGUUUCCAAAGGUGCUUGACAGAUAAGGAACAGUCUAGGCACAGGGAGAAUCUGACUUAUUGGGAGCAAAUAAAGCCAAGAUUUUAAAAUGUCUUUUAAUGUGAAACACGUAUGUGCCCCUGGGCCUGAAAACAAGCCACAACCUUCCCAGUUGUGGUGAAGGUUCCUAACAAUAGAAAUGAGUUGUGGUACAAUGUUAUUUAAACUGGAAAGUUCUGAGGAGAAUUUUGAUUUGUAGAGGAAGUCACAGAUGGGAGAAGACAAGUGCAGAGGGCAGAAGGGAGAGGCUAUUUUUCUAUGACUCUUCUGAUUACAAAGAGAGCAGAAUUAACUGCUAGUUCUCAUUAUCUGUGUAUGCAGAACAGAACCAAACAAGCCUAACAAGAUGAAAAUUGAUAUUUAAUCACAAAGCUAGAAGGUACCUUAUUAAAGUGACCUGCUUUGGUAUUGAGAUAAUUAGUUGUGGUUUUAAGUGUCCUUAUGGAAGCACUCUCAUUCAUGGUGGUGUGGACUUCUGUUUGCUUCUUGCUUAGGGGACAUCAGUUCUUCAAUAGAACUCUGUCAAACAUUGAUUCUACAUGGGCUGUGUGGGUUUUGUCUUAAAUUUGUAUUUUAAAAUAAUUAUAGAUUCAUAGGAAAUUGCAAAAAAAAAAAAUGUGCAGGGAAUUCCUUAUGCAUCCUUCACCAAGUCUUCCCCUAUGGUAAUGUCAUAUAGAGUUAUGUCUCAGAACCGAGAAAUUGACAUUGGAAUACUCCACAGAGCUUAUUCUGAUUUACAAACACUCGUGUAUGCGUGUGUGUGUGUGUGUGCAUCUGUGUGGUUCUAUGCAAUGUCAUCCUGUAUAGUUUCAUGUAACACCACUGUGAUCAAGAUACAGUGUUCCACGUAGGGUUUGAAGAACUGUAAAGGGAUUCAGAAUGAGUCACUUUGCUUGUGGUCCCACCAGCUUGAGUUCAGGACUUUUUACUUGGGGGGACUGCUGCUUUGUGGGGAUAGGUAGCAUAGCUUUUGCAACAUAAAGUGACUUUUUUUUUAUGUGAUCAUCAUUAAAGGUGUGUUUCUCAAGGACUAUGUUUUGAGGAAGAAAAUCAUGGUCACUUUAUGUGAAGGAAGUGAAAUGGUAAAUUUAUACCCCAAAACAUAAAAUCUGUUAGUGGUCUUUAUUUUGGGGGCAAGCCCACCAAUUCUGGCAUAACAACAAUGGACUCAAUCCUAGAAAAGUUCCUCUUCUGCCAAGUUUUAGAACAUUUGAGACUUGUUCAAUAAAUGGUGCAACUUUCUAGUUCCUGAAACAGAAGACUGUCGAUCCCCCAGAGAAAUGCCCUGGUAUGUUUGAAGUGAAUAGGUAUGAUUCUACAAUAAAGAAAUGGAAAGUCACUUAAUAGCACCUUCUAAGCAUUGUCAACAUAUUAAAAUCCGCCUCACUUAUGUUUUAUAGGUAAUUGCUGUCUCCAGAACUUAAGGAUACAUAAUCCUGUCUACUAUUUACAUGGCGUGAGGAUUUUAAUUGUCUCUGCACCUAGUAUAUCAAAACUAAGGUGCUUAGGAAUGAAGGAUCUGAGUCUUUCCCUGCGGAGACAGCCCUGAAGAACUCCUGUAACGUCAAGCUGGCGAUUUCCAAGAAGCAAUCCGGGACCUGCAUUCCCAAAGAGACCCACAAGAAAGAAAAGACAUGAGGCUCUGAAGCACCGACACCAUGCAGAUCGCAGUGCUGCCUGUUCCUGGGGGUGGUGGGCUGAUAAGAGCAUCCCUGCUCUCCCGGCCCUCGACUUCUGCAGCCCUCAGAAUCCCCUGCUCUCUCAUCAAAUACAAACUUUAAAACGAUGGUACCCAUGAGACAGCCCUGGGAAAAAGCAUAUUAGUGACACUCCUUAUGGAGGAGAAGCUGAUUCUACUAAUGGUGCGUUUUCAGUAAAUGAGAAACGGACUCUGAUCGAAAUUAAAUCUGUGGUUCAAUGCA